UCCCCGUUACCGGGGCAGUCUGAAUAGAAAAAUACAACUAUUCAUAAGGGUUGCGCUCGUUGAUGGACUUAACCAAACAUCUCACGACACGAGCUGACGACGGCCAUGCAGCACCUGUCACUUGGCUCCUUGCGGCACCAUUCCCUUUCGGGAUUGUUCCAAGGAUGUCAAGCCUGGGUAAGGUUCUUCGCUUACCAUCGAAUUAAACAACACGCUCCACCGCUUGUGCGGGUCCCCGUCAAUUCCUUUAUGUUUUAGCCUUGCGGCCGUACUCCACAGGCGGGGUGCUUAACGCGUUAGCUUCGCUACCGAAGGGGUCGAUACCCCCGACAGCUAGCACCCAUCGUUUACGGCGUGGACUAC
rnacentral:misc_RNA from 1 species